GGUGCCAUAGCUCAGUCGGUAGAGCAAUGGACUGAAAAUCCAUGUGUCCCCGGUUCGAUUCCUGGUGGCACCACUA
rnacentral:tRNA from 1 species